rnacentral:rRNA from 1 species
UACGAGGGGAGCAAGCGUUGUUCGGAUUUACUGGGCGUAAAGGGCUCGUAGGUGGCCAACUAAGUCAGACGUGAAAUCCCUCGGCUUAACCGGGGAACUGCGUCUGAUACUGGAUGGCUUGAGUCCGGGAGAGGGAUGCGGAAUUCCAGGUGUAGCGGUGAAAUGCGUAGAUAUCUGGAGGAACACCGGUGGCGAAGGCGGCAUCCUGGACAGGCAUUGACGCUGAGGAGCGAAAGCCAGGGGAGCAAACGGG